rnacentral:rRNA from 1 species
UACAUGCAGUCGGACGGGAUUCAGGGAGUAGCUUGCUACGAACUGAUGAGAGUGGCGCACGGGUGCGUAACGCGUGAGCAACCUACCCAUAUCAGGGGGAUAGCCUCUCGAAAGAGAGAUUAACACCGCAUAACAUCAUUUACCGGCAUCGGUUUUUGAUCAAAUAUUUAUAGGAUAUGGAUGGGCUCGCGUGACAUUAGCUAGUUGGAGAGGUAACGGCUCACCAAGGCUACGAUGUCUAGGGGCUCUGAGAGGAGAAUCCCCCACACUGGUACUGAGACACGGACCAGACUCCUACGGGAGGCAGCAGUAAGGAAUAUUGGUCAAUGGAGGCAACUCUGAACCAGCCAUGCCGCGUGCAGGAUGACUGCCCUAUGGGUUGUAAACUGCUUUUGUCAGGGAAUAAACCUUUCUACGUGUAGAAAGCUGAAUGUACCUGAAGAAUAAGGAUCGGCUAACUCCGUGCCAGCAGCCGCGGUAAUACGGAGGAUCCAAGCGUUAUCCGGAUUUAUUGGGUUUAAAGGGUGCGUAGGCGGUCCUAUAAGUCAGUGGUGAAAGACGGCAGCUUAACUGUCGCAGUGCCUUUGAUACUGUAGGACUUGAAUCUAUUUGAAGUGGGCGGAAUAAGACAAGUAGCGGUGAAAUGCAUAGAUAUGUCUUAGAACUCCGAUUGCGAAGGCAGCUCACUAAGUUAGUAUUGACGCUGAUGCACGAAAGCGUGGGGAUCAAACAGGAUUAGAUACCCUGGUAGUCCACGCCC